rnacentral:rRNA from 1 species
CGCGUAGGUGGUCCUGUAUGUCUGCCGUGAAAGGGUACAGCUCAACUGUAGCUUGUCGGUAGAAACUGCAGGACUUGAGGCUGGGAGGGGCUGGUGGAAUUCCCUGUGUAGCGGUGAAAUGCGUAGAGAUGGGGGAGAACACUCGUGGCGAAGGCGGCCAGCUAGACCAGUUCUGACACUGAGGCGCGACAGCGUGGGGAGCAAACA